CACGUAGGGUGCGAGCGUUGUCCGGAAUUCUUGGGCGUAAAGAGCUCGUAGGCGGUGUGUCGCGUCGUCCGUGAAAACCUGCAGCUUAACUGUGGGCUUGCGGUCGAUACGGGCAUCACUGGAGUUCGGCAGGGGAGACUGGAAUUCCUGGUGUAGCGGUGAAAUGCGCAGAUAUCAGGAGGAACACCGGUGGCGAAGGCGGGUCUCUGGGCCGAUACUGACGCUGAGGAGCGAAAGUGUGGGGAGCGAACAGG
rnacentral:rRNA from 1 species